CCCUAUGGGGUGCAGCAGGACAGGUGACGCAUGGAGCUGGAGGCUCAAGAUCAAAAAUCCAUGCGAACAGAAAGGUUAAUUGAUAAUGAAAAAGCUUUUAACAUAUAUGAUGGCGAUGCUUCUUCUGACGUCAGUUUUCGCGGGCUGCGCGACGCAGGCGGCGGAACAAACGGCAGGGGGGGCAGACGGCGGCAAGCUCUCCGUGGUGACAACGAUAUUUCCGCCUUACGACUUUGCGCGGGCGGUGUCCGGCGGGCUGGCCGAUGUGACGAUGCUGAUUGACCCCGGCGCGGAGGUGCACUCGUUUGACCCCACCACGCAGGACAUCAUGAAGAUACAGAACUGCGAUGUGUUUAUCUAUAUUGGCGGGGGGGC
rnacentral:rRNA from 1 species